rnacentral:rRNA from 1 species
AUUGAACGCUGGCGGCAUGCCUUACACAUGCAAGUCGAACGGCAGCGGGGGAGAAGCUUGCUUUUCCUGCCGGCGAGUGGCGAACGGGUGAGUAAUACAUCGGAACGUGCCCUGUAGUGGGGGAUAACUAGUCGAAAGAUUAGCUAAUACCGCAUACGACCUGAGGGUGAAAGUGGGGGACCGCAAGGCCUCAUGCUAUAGGAGCGGCCGAUGUCUGAUUAGCUAGUUGGUGGGGUAAAGGCCUACCAAGGGGACGAUCAGUAGCUGGUCUGGGAGGACGAUAAGCCACCAUGGGACUGAGACACGGCCCAGACUCCUACGGGGAGCAGCAGUGGGGAAUUUUGGACAAUGGGCGAAAGACUGAUCCAGCAAUGCGGCGUGUGUGAAGAAGGCCUUCGGGUUGUAAAGCACUUUUGUCCGGAAAGAAAUGGCUCUGGUUAAUACCUGGGGUCGAUGACGGUACCGGAAGAAUAAGGACCGGCUAACUACGUGCCAGCCGCCGCCGUAA